rnacentral:rRNA from 1 species
UACGUAGGGGGCAAGCGUUAUCCGGAUUUACUGGGUGUAAAGGGAGCGCAGACGGAACUGCAAGUCUGAUGUGAAAGCCCGGGGCUCAACCGCGGGACUGCAUCGGAUACUGUGGAUCUGGAGUGCCGGAGGGGCAAGUGGAAUUCCUGGUGUAGCGGUGAAAUGCGUAGAUAUCAGGAGGAACACCGGCGGCGAAGGCGGCUUGCUGGACGGCAACUGACGUUGAGGCUCGAAAGCGUGGGGAGCAAACAGGAUUAGAUACCCU